UGGACAACACACACACACACACAUAAACACUCACGCUGACUCACAAAGUCGAUUUAAUACCUGACAUUCCACACAAGGGCUUGACCUCUUCACAUUUGCUUUAUGGUUUCUAACCGGCAGUCGGUCUUCAGCCUGAACUGUUUGGCUGAAAGUCUCGACAACAUGAGCGUGUCAAGCCUUCUCAACCUCAGCAACCUGGGCAAGAUCUGCGGCUCCAGCCACAGCAACGACAUGAUAGUUCUGGACCGGGUGAAGAGGAAGAACUCCGUCAGGCGCAUGUCAAUAAUUGAAGACGGUCAAAUCGCAGAGGUUCUGUACUUGAUUCCAAAGCAGUCCAUAAUGGAGCAGCUACCGUUCCUCAACCCUAACGACUACAUUCUGUGUGAAAAGCUGGCAGGUAUACCUGCAGAGCUGUCAGUACUACACACCCAGGAUAGCUGCCACCCCUGCCCUCCAGCAGGGAAGAAGGUAAUCUGCUGCUUCAGGUGUGGGGAGUCAUGCAGAGGAGAGGUGCUGCGUGUUCAGAGCAGCUACUUCCACAUAAACUGCUUUACAUGCAAAGUGUGUGGCUGUGAUUUAGCUCAGAGUGGCUUCUUCAUGAGGAAUGGGGACUACCUCUGCCCGCUGGACUUCCAGCGACGUCAUGGCACAGCUUGCAACAGCUGUGGAGAAUUUGUGGAGGGAGAGGUGGUUACGGUGUUGGGGAAGACCUACCACCCAGCCUGCUUUGUUUGCGCCAUUUGCAAACAGCCUUUUCCUGCUGGGAAUUGUGUCACCUUCAUUGGAAAAGACUGCCUCUGUCAGCGCUGUAUGGAACCUGUGUCGCCGUCUCCAAACGCCACCAGCUAUUCCAGCAGCUGCACUGGCUGUGGUAGAGACAUCAAGAAUGGACAGGCUCUAUUAGCCCUCGGAGGCCAGUGGCACCUAGGCUGCUUCAAGUGUAAAACCUGCAGGAAAGUGUUGAGUGGAGAAUAUAUCAGCAAGGAUGGAGUUCCCUACUGUGAGAGAGACUACCAGAUUCAGUUUGGGGUAAAAUGUGAAGCAUGUCAGAAGUUUAUAACUGGAAAACUCUUAGAGGCUGGGGACAGACAUUAUCACCCCAGCUGUGCAAGAUGCAGCCGAUGCGACAGGAUGUUCACAGAAGGAGAAGAAAUGUAUGUGCAAGGAUCAGUAAUUUGGCACCCAGAUUGCAGAGAAACCAGCAGAAUGGAGGACAGCUACAGGCGCACUAGAUCAUCAUCUGAAAGCUCCUGUUCCAGGCCGGGCUCGUGCACUCCUGGCAGCCCAGGUCGAACCAUCUGUGCCAAAGUAGAUAAUGAGAUCAUUGAUUACAGAGACUUAGCAGCAAUUCCCAGAGUCAAGGCUAUAUAUGAUAUUGAGUAUCCUGAUAUGAUAUCUUAUAAGUCUGUGAAUGACCACCCCUCUACUUUGGAUGAGAAAGGAAACACACAAGACAGCCAAAGAGUCCAAAAAAGUCCUGCAGAGUCACCAGAAAUCAAAACUGAACCCACAGAGGAGAGUUUUGAAAUAAGAACACGUGUACCCAAAUCUAAAAGCCAAGGGCCUUUUGGACUUCAUACAAUGUACCAUCGUCAUAGCUACACUCCAACUUCAUCCAGAUCACCACAACACUUCCACCGACCAGCAGAUGAAAGCUUCAACGUGUACAGGAGGGCCCCGAUUUAUAAACAGCAAGAUCCAAAUUCCUCGACAUCCCCAGCAUCCUCUUUGCCCGGUCGAAACAGCCUCAGCCCGCCACAGCCAGCUGAUUUCUCCCACUACCAUGACGACAGAUGCAGAGACUUCAGGGUAUGUGACAGUAACUGAAUGGAGUUGGUAUUCGAGUCAGUCCUGGUUCCCUGUUUGGUUUGUGGCAUAUUUUUUUGAAGAACUGGCCUAACUCAUUGUCUCAUCUAUGACCAUCAGUACCCAUUAACACAAAUGGAGAGAGGAGUGUCUAUGCCUAAUUUGUUGGAACCAAAU